GGAGAGAUGGCCGAGUGGUUGAAGGCGACAGUCUUGAAAACUGUUAGGGGGCUUGCUCCCUCGGGGGUUCGAAUCCCUCUCUCUCCG
rnacentral:tRNA from 1 species